GGGACACGUGGUAUCCUGUCUGAAUAUGGGGGGACCAUCCUCCAAGGCUAAAUACUCCUGACUGACCGAUAGUGAACCAGUACCGUGAGGGAAAGGCGAAAAGAACCCCGGCGAGGGGAGUGAAAAAGAACCUGAAACCGUGUACGUACAAGCAGUGGGAGCACGCUUAGGCGUGUGACUGCGUACCUUUUGUAUAAUGGGUCAGCGACUUAUAUUCUGUAGCAAGGUUAACCGAAUAGGGGAGCCGAAGGGAAACCGAGUCUUAACUGGGCGUUAAGUUGCAGGGUAUAGACCCGAAACCCGGUGAUCUAGCCAUGGGCAGGUUGAAGGUUGGGUAACACUAACUGGAGGACCGAACCGACUAAUGUUGAAAAAUUAGCGGAUGACUUGUGGCUGGGGGUGAAAGGCCAAUCAAACCGGGAGAUAGCUGGUUCUCCCCGAAAGCUAUUUAGGUAGCGCCUCGUGAAUUCAUCUCCGGGGGUAGAGCACUGUUUCGGCAAGGGGGUCAUCCCGACUUACCAACCCGAUGCAAACUGCGAAUACCGGAGAAUGUUAUCACGGGAGACACACGGCGGGUGCUAACGUCCGUCGUGAAGAGGGAAACAACCCAGACCGCCAGCUAAGGUCCCAAAGUCAUGGUUAAGUGGGAAACGAUGUGGGAAGGCCCAGACAGCCAGGAUGUUGGCUUAGAAGCAGCCAUCAUUUAAAGAAAGCGUAAUAGCUCACUGGUCGAGUCGGCCUGCGCGGAAGAUGUAACGGGGCUAAACCAUGCACCGAAGCUGCGGCAGCGACGCUUAUGCGUUGUUGGGUAGGGGAGCGUUCUGUAAGCCUGUGAAGGUGUACUGUGAGGUAUGCUGGAGGUAUCAGAAGUGCGAAUGCUGACAUAAGUAACGAUAAAGCGGGUGAAAAGCCCGCUCGCCGGAAGACCAAGGGUUCCUGUCCAACGUUAAUCGGGGCAGGGUGAGUCGACCCCUAAGGCGAGGCCGAAAGGCGUAGUCGAUGGGAAACAGGUUAAUAUUCCUGUACUUGGUGUUACUGCGAAGGGGGGACGGAGAAGGCUAUGUUGGCCGGGCGACGGUUGUCCCGGUUUAAGCGUGUAGGCUGGUUUUCCAGGCAAAUCCGGAAAAUCAAGGCUGAGGCGUGAUGACGAGGCACUACGGUGCUGAAGCAACAAAUGCCCUGCUUCCAGGAAAAGCCUCUAAGCAUCAGGUAACAUCAAAUCGUACCCCAAACCGACACAGGUGGUCAGGUAGAGAAUACCAAGGCGCUUGAGAGAACUCGGGUGAAGGAACUAGGCAAAAUGGUGCCGUAACUUCGGGAGAA
rnacentral:rRNA from 1 species